UAACGGCCCACCAAGGCGACGAUCAGUAGCCGGACUGAGAGGUUGACCGGCCACAUUGGGACUGAGACACGGCCCAGACUCCUACGGGAGGCAGCAGUGGGGAAUAUUGGGCAAUGGGCGCAAGCCUGACCCAGCAACGCCGCGUGAAGGAUGAAGGCCCUCGGGUUGUAAACUUCUUUUAACAGGGACGAAUUCUGACGGUACCUGUUGAAUAAGCCACGGCUAACUAC
rnacentral:rRNA from 1 species